ensembl:lncRNA
UGUUGACAGUGGGCUGGGUUUGGCCUGGUCAUUAGGUGUGGAACUCCCGGCUUGUGGUAAAUCCUGAUUGGAAAACAGUAUAAACAUAUUUCCUGGUAAAUGGGUAAACAUAUAGAGAGAUGGUGGUUGUUCCCCUCCCGUCACCAGCACACCGUAGAAGCAAUUGGAAGCAAUUUAGGUGUGCUCAGCAUCUGGCCCUCAUAAAAGGCCUCGAGUGAGUCAUGAUUUUGCACCAACAGAGAAGGCUUGUCUCGCUUGUGGAGAGAAUUGUAUUUGCCUCCCAUUUUGCCCAUGAAUCUCUCCACUGCUUUAUGAUGAUCAGUCUGAUUUGUGUGCCGAGAGACUGUGACGCUGAACUCAAAGGCCACAUCCCUGUCCCCCCCUGGGGUGGGGAAAGCACACGGUGGCUCUCUGAUCAAGGCUCAGGGUGCCCUGUGUCCUUGGUCCCCCCAGAAGUUCCAGCCAAGGCCAGCUCUGGUUCCUCGGGGCCAUGCGCUCUGCUGUGGGAGCAGGUCCUGUGAGCUUGGUUGGGUCAGGGGUCACCCAGAAAAUAACCACCUUCCACUUCCUUUAAUUAUGCAAACUAGAGCGAGGUGACUGAGAUCUUGCCUCUGGUCUGCAAGACACAGGGAGUUUUGCAAGCCCCAGGGAGUGCAGAAUUUCCUGAAGAUGUUGCACAGGGGCUGGCUUUUGCUGAAGUCGUACAGUAUUCUCCUUUGCUUUGGUUAUGACUGCAGAGGUGCUGGGAAGCCGACUGGAGAGCAGCACCGUGGAGCAGCCGGCUUCUCUCUGUGGGAGGCGACGCCCGCUCUUUGAGAGGGAAGGGCUCGGCUCUGCUGCCUUGGGCUAAAAGCACUGUGAUCUAGUUCCACCUCCUGGCUCCUUCAUUGGUAGUUGGUUUUCCAAAAUGCAAGGAUUUUUGCUGACCGACAGGGACCUGAAGGCUUGAAAAUUUAGACAGCAGAGAGCUAGGUGGCUGAGAUUUUACAAAAGUCCGUAUUUUGCUAGUUUAAUCUGGGAAAGGACGCACAACCCAAAGAAUAGGAGCCUUGUUGCAGAAGAACCAAUUUCAUUCAUCAGGGUAUUUUACCAGUAGUCGCGCUGGGCACCUGGCUAUGCAGUCACCGCCCCGUGCUUCUCAGCUCCAGGCGGAGCUGCAGCGGGAGGAGAGCCUGGACGUGCUGCCAGCCCGGGAGCCGGGCCCGACUCGCUCAGGCCUUUCUAGACCCAUUUCAGGUGAGUCACCCCUGCUCCCCAUGCCCCCUGAGCCCAGCAGAGGUGACCUGGCCCUCCUUCCUCCUCUUUUCCUACCAGGGCCUCUGACGUGAGGCUAUUAGCCAUUCAGACUUCACACUGUAGCCCUUUCCUUGCAUCUCGGGAAAUCUUUAAAUGAGCAGGCAGAUUACCUAGUCUCUGGACAGGACCAUAAGCACAAGACACUGCGUGAUACGUUACAGAGACUCCACUAAGUAUAGUAAGUCUGCUGGGGUUUUCAAGGGUUUGAGAAUCUCAAGGUGGUGGAAUUAUUCAAAGGGCAAGAUUUUUUUUUAAGUCUCCAUUCUCUGAGUAUAACAGCGUAUGAACUAGUUCCUGAAGUAUUUAAAUAGAAAGUGAAACUGAAUCACACUGUUUACUUUUCAUAGUAAAAGCUGUUGAGGAUUCAGAUCUUCCCUGAAAGAGCAACAGGGUUUUCAGAAAAUGCUUCUUCCCAUUGAGCUUCGGAGUUCCUAAGAAAACCUGGGGGUCAUGCUUUACUGAGGGCAACACGUGGGGGCAGGGCGGGGCGUCCUGGAGAGGAGGCGUCUGGGCUCUGAGUCAGCAGAGCACAUGACCGAACCAGAGAUGGGGUCAGAUGCCCAAGGCCCAGGGAAGCAGCUGCUUCAGGCUUGUUUAGGUUGAGAGCUUGGCAAGUGGAAAUACUGCUGUUGAGAGGAAUCUCACAAUCCCUUUGAGAGUUAGUGUGGGUGAGCGGGAGCUCAGUGUGUAUUCAGGGCGCAGAGCAAGUGUAGGACAGGUUAGGGAAAGAAUGGAUAAAUGGGGGGGAUCUCUCUCAAUAAAACUGAUUUGGUAGGUUUUUCA